AUUGAACGCUGGCGGCAUGCCUUACACAUGCAAGUCGAACGGCAGCGGACCUUCGGGUGCCGGCGAGUGGCGAACGGGUGAGUAAUAUAUCGGAACGUACCUUUCAGUGGGGGAUAACGUAGCGAAAGUUACGCUAAUACCGCAUAUUCUGUGAGCAGGAAGGCAGGGGAUCGCAAGACCUUGCGCUGAUUGAGCGGCCGAUAUCAGAUUAGCUAGUUGGUGAGGUAAAGGCUCACCAAGGCGACGAUCUGUAGCGGGUCUGAGAGGAUGAUCCGCCACACUGGAACUGAGACACGGUCCAGACUCCUACGGGAGGCAGCAGUGGGGAAUUUUGGACAAUGGCGCAAGCCUGAUCCAGCCAUGCCGCGUG
rnacentral:rRNA from 1 species